UACGGAGGGUGCAAGCGUUAUCCGGAUUCACUGGGUUUAAAGGGUGCGUAGGUGGGUUGGUAAGUCAGUGGUGAAAUCUCCGAGCUUAACUCGGAAACUGCCAUUGAUACUAUAGGUCUUGAAUUAUCUGGAGGUAAGCGGAAUAUGUCAUGUAGCGGUGAAAUGCUUAGAUAUGACAUAGAACACCAAUUGCGAAGGCAGCUUACUACGGAUUGAUUGACACUGAGGCACGAAAGCGUGGGGAUCAAACAGG
rnacentral:rRNA from 1 species